rnacentral:rRNA from 1 species
AAGCGGUGGAGUAUGUGGUUUAAUUCGAUGCAACGCGAAGAACUUACCUGGUCUUGACAUCCCGGAGACCCUUAGGAACUAGGGGUGCUUCCAUCUGGAAGAAUCUGGAGACAGGUGCUGCAUGGCUGUCGUCAGCUCGUGUCGUGAGAUGUUGGGUUAAGUCCCGCAACGAGCGCAACCCUUGCCUUUAGUUGCCAGCAGUUCGGCUGGGCACUCUAAAGGGACUGCCGGUGUUAAACCGGAGGAAGGUGGGGAUGACGUCAAGUCCUCAUGGCCUUUAUGACCAGGGCUACACACGUACUACAAUGGCCGAUACAAAGGGCAGCGACACUGCGAGGUGAAGCCAAUCCCGUAAAAUCGGUCUCAGUCCGGAUUGGAGUCUGCAACUCGACUCCAUGAAGUUGGAAUCGCUAGUAAUCGUGGAUCAGCAUGCCACGGUGAAUACGUUCCCGGGCCUU